GAAAUACAGAGGGGAGGGGGGAGCAGACCUGCUCCCCCCUCCCCUCUGUAUUUCUUGUCAAAUAAGUUACUGCUCAUGAUCCCAGAGCACUCACACGCAGACCCUCUUACAGAGUGAACCUUGUCUUCUCCUGUGUUCUCUGUUAUUUGUGUUGAAGAAAUACUCAAAAAGCUUUUUUUCAUCGGAAGCUGCAGGUUGGUUCCUUGUUUUGUUUUUUCAUCAAGCUCUUGAUACAACGAAAGAUCACCACCGACUGACGGGAUGGGGUUUGGCGCACCAGGGUUCCCCACAUCUGCGAGCGGUGGCCCCCUUCGCCUUCUGUUCGACAGUUUUGGUCAAUACUGCCACAACUUCACUGAGGGGAAUAGCGGCUCAGGAAAUGGAGCUCAAUCUAACAAACCUAAAUCUGAAGAACAAGCAGCAAAAAGUGAAAAAAAAAGAGAUACAGAUUCAUCUGAAUUGGAAAGAGAAUUCGACGUGGGAGCCAGUGGAAUGUAUAAAGAUGUCGUCAAGAACAACAGGAAAUUCUCCAGGGGCCCAGGGAACCCUGGGCACAAGGGGGUAGUUGAAGCGGAUCACAUGCCACCCAAGGACUCCCUGAAGAAAGCUGCAAAAGAGCCUUUGAUUUGGAUAUUGGGAGAAAGCGAAAAAUAUGAGGGGCUUUUGAAAAUGUUGCAGACGAAGGAUCCAAAAGGGAGAAAUCUCUUCACCCUACAGGUCCUCACGGGCCAACACAGGACGGCUCUGACAACCGGCAACAGUAGAGAGUCUGUGGCCGUCAGGGCUGUUCUCGCAAAUGCAUUUGCCACAGGACAAGUGGUGUCAGCGCUGAAGCUAACAUUUUUGGUCAGCCACCCAAUUUCUUCCAUGGAAUUAAGAGAAAAAGCAGGAAUUCAGAGGGAUCGCCCGGAAGUAAGAUUUGGAAGGGAUAGAGCAAUGAGAACCUACUUCAAUGGCUUUGUGGACAUGAUAAAUUUUUUCUCUGUUAGAAAAAUCAUCGAUAACGAAGAAGUGGUUGAGCUGUGUGAGCAUAUCACAAAUCAUUAUGACGUAGAUGGCGACUUUGACAGAGAUUCCCUUGAAUACGAUCUUCUCAUUGAAGCCAUUAUAGAAUCAAAAAAAUAGUGGUCUUUCUCGAAUUUAGCUUUGGAACUUAUCGGUUGUUGACCAGAAAAGAUUGUUAGUUGCCAUCAAAGUAUAAUGAUAAUUGCUUUUUAACAAACUGAAGAUGUGUGUGUGACAAUGACAAAGGUGGCCUACUUUAAUCUAGAAAUGUUAACAUUUUUCACCAUGAAGUCUAAAAGGAAGCUACCUUUGUCAUUGUCACACACACAUCUUCAGUUUGUUAAAAAGCAAUUAUCAUUAUACUUUGAUGGCAACUAACAAUCUUUUCUGGUCAACAACCGAUAAGUUCCAAAGCUAAAUUCGAGAAAGACCACUAUUUUUUUGAUUCUAUAAUGGCUUCAAUGAGAAGAUCGUAUUCAAGGGAAUCUCUGUCAAAGUCGCCAUCUACGUCAUAAUGAUUUGUGAUAUGCUCACACAGCUCAACCACUUCUUCGUUAUCGAUGAUUUUUCUAACAGAGAAAAAAUUUAUCAUGUCCACAAAGCCAUUGAAGUAGGUUCUCAUUGCUCUAUCCCUUCCAAAUCUUACUUCCGGGCGAUCCCUCUGAAUUCCUGUAACAAAUGCACACAUAUGAAUUAGGCAAAACAGCUGCAGAGCUGUAGAUAGUCACCAAGUAGUUAAUACAAACCUGCUUUUUCUCUUAAUUCCAUGGAAGAAAUUGGGUGGCUGACCAAAAAUGUUAGCUUCAGCGCUGACACCACUUGUCCUGUGGCAAAUGCAUUUGCGAGAACAGCCCUGUGGACAGAAUACGUGCAGGGUGAGGGCACAUUGGAAACAUUCUCUCAACAGUCCAAAUGUUUUUGAUGAAAGAAACCCCAGCAACCAUGGUUGUAAAUAGAGAUGUAUGACCCGGCAUGACCUAUGUUGACUACUACUGCUUUGAAUAUGAUCUAGAAAUAGGAAAUAGCCGCAGCUAGGGGUUCAUGAGCACACCACACAAUGUGCUUUCAUGGUCGGAUGCAGAAAUGGGUGUGGCUUGGUAGGGGGUGAACUGUGGAGUCGGCCCUUGUGCAUGUGUUGGGCCAUAAACAUCUGGAACUAACAGCUUUAACAUUAAGCCUGGUAGCAGGGACAGUGGCAGGGCAAUCCUUUGUUUGGCUCUGUUUUUGGGCUCUUUUUCUACAUGUGUUAUUCCAUGGAAAAAUACUGUUUUGGUAUUUACUGCCUCUGUCUCAUUAGUACUACAUCGGGAAAUUCACCCUCUUGUUGUUAAUUGCCAUAU
ensembl:lncRNA